rnacentral:tRNA from 1 species
UCCUGGUUAGCUCAGCUGGUAGAGCGUUCCACUGGAAAUGGGGAAGUUCCUGUUUCGAUACCCGUACCAGGCG